GGCCCCUUGGUCAAGCGGUUAAGACACCGCCCUUUCACGGCGGUAUCACGGGUUCGAAUCCCGUAGGGGUCAC
rnacentral:tRNA from 2 species